UACGUAGGGUGCAAGCGUUGUCCGGAAUUACUGGGCGUAAAGAGCUCGUAGGUGGUUUGUCGCGUUGUUCGUGAAAACUCACAGCUUAACUGUGGGCGUGCGGGCGAUACGGGCAGACUGGAGUACUGCAGGGGAGACUGGAAUUCCUGGUGUAGCGGUGGAAUGCGCAGAUAUCAGGAGGAACACCGGUGGCGAAGGCGGGUCUCUGGGCCGAUACUGACGCUGAGGAGCGAAAGCGUGGGGAGCGAACAGG
rnacentral:rRNA from 1 species